rnacentral:rRNA from 1 species
AGAGUUUGAUCAUGGCUCAGGACGAACGCUGGCGGCAUGGAUUAGGCAUGCAAGUCGAACGAAAAGCAGGAGCUUGCUUCUGUGGACGAGUGGCGAAAGGGUGAGUAACGCGUGAGCAACCUUCCCUCAAGUCGGGAAUAACCUCUGGAAACGGGGGCUAAUACCGGAUGUGGAUAUAAAACCGCAUGGUUUAAUAUUUAAAGAUUUAUCGCUUGAGGAUGGGCUCGCGUACCAUUAGCUAGUUGGUGUGGUAACGGCAUACCAAGGCGACGAUGGUUAGGUGGAUUGAGAGAUCGGUCACCCACACUGGGACUGAGACACUGCCCAGACUCCUACGGGAGGCUGCAGUCGAGAAUCUUCCGCAAUGCGCGAAAGCGUGACGGAGCAAUGCCGCGUGGUCGAUGAAGGCCUUCGGGUUGUAAAGACCUGUCACAUGGGACGAAUAUUUGACGGUACCAUGAGAGGAAGCCACGGCUAACUACGUGCCAGCAGCCGCGGUAAUACGUAGGUGGCGAGCGUUGUUCGGAUUUAUUGGGCGUAAAGGGUCCGCAGGGGGUUUGCUAAGUCUGAUGUGAAAUCCCGGGGCUCAACCCCGGAACUGCAUUGGAAACUGGUGAACUAGAGUAUCGGAGAGGUAAAUGGAAUUCCUGGUGUAGCGGUGGAAUGCGUAGAUAUCAGGAAGAACACCGAGAGCGAAGGCAAUUUACUGGACGAUCACUGACCCUCAGGGACGAAAGCGUAGGUAGCGAACAGGAUUAGAUACCCUAGUAGUCC